rnacentral:rRNA from 1 species
GAUGAACGCUGGCGGCGUGCCUAAUACAUGCAAGUCGAGCGAACAGACGAGGAGCUUGCCCCUCUGACGUUAGCGGCGGACGGGUGAGUAACACGUGGAUAACCUACCUAUAAGACUGGGAUAACUUCGGGAAACCGGAGCUAAUACCGGAUAAUAUAUUGAACCGCUUGGUUCAAUAGUGAAAGACGGUUUUGCUGUCACUUAUAGACGGAUCCGCGCCGCAUUAGCUAGUUGGUAAGGUAACGGCUUACCAAGGCGACGAUGCGUAGCCGACCUGAGAGGGUGAUCGGCCACACUGGAACUGAGACACGGUCCAGACUCCUACGGGAGGCAGCAGUAGGGAAUCUUCCGCAAUGGGCGAAAGCCUGACGGAGCAACGCCGCGUGAGUGAUGAAGGUCUUCGGAUCGUAAAACUCUGUUAUUAGGGAAGAACAAAUGUGUAAGUAACUAUGCACGUCUUGACGGUACCUAAUCAGAAAGCCACGGCUAACUACGUG